GCUGGGACAGCUCAGUCGGUGAAGCAUGAGAUCCUUGAUCUCAUGGUCGUGGGUUCGAGCCCCACAUUGGACA